UCAAAGUUUCCGGAUAUGAUGUCAUUAGGUGAAUUUUUGGAAAAAAAAUCAAAAGAACUCCCCUAAUGACAUCAUAUCCGGAAACUUUGA
rnacentral:miRNA from 1 species